UACGUAGGUGACAAGCGUUGUCCGGAUUUACUGGGCGUAAAGAGCGCGCAGGCGGUCGUUCAAGUCGAGUGUGAAAGCCCCCGGCUCAACUGGGGAGGGUCAUUCGAUACUGAUCGACUCGAAGGCAGGAGAGGGAAGUGGAAUUCCCGGUGUAGUGGUGAAAUGCGUAGAUAUCGGGAGGAACACCAGUGGCGAAGGCGACUUCCUGGCCUGUUCUUGACGCUGAGGCGCGAAAGCUAGGGGAGCAAACGGG
rnacentral:rRNA from 1 species